rnacentral:rRNA from 1 species
UACGGAGGAUGCGAGCGUUAUCCGGAUUUAUUGGGUUUAAAGGGUGCGUAGGCGGGCUGUUAAGUCAGCGGUCAAAUGUCGGGGCUCAACCCCGGCCUGCCGUUGAAACUGGCGGCCUCGAGUUGGAGAGAAGUAUGCGGAAUGCGCGGUGUAGCGGUGAAAUGCAUAGAUAUCACGCAGAACUCCGAUCGCGAAGGCAGCCUACCGGCGCGCAACUGACGCUCAUGCACGAAAGCGUGGGGAGCAAAUAGG